AUGGAGGGUGUGGUGAUUAGACACCGGACUGUGGAGGUGAACGGCAUAUCGAUGCACGUGGCGGAAGCCGGCCCCGAGGUGGACGCCAAGGGGGCGGUGUUGUUCCUGCACGGCUUCCCGGAGCUGUGGUACUCGUGGCGCCAUCAGAUGGACCACUUGGGGGCUUGUGGUUACCGUUGCGUCGCGCCUAACCUCCGUGGCUAUGGUGGCAGCACUGCACCACCGGGUGUGGCCUCUUACACAGCCUUUCACAUAGUUGGUGACCUUGUUGCGCUCCUCGACACCUUAGGGCUUGCGAAGGAGCCAGGUGUUGCGGAGAAGCAAUUCGCCCCGGCGCAUGCCAAGCGCCUGAUGAGGCAAAUGCUGUGCCAUUGCUUUAGCCACGGCGUGUUCUGUGAUGAGGAGAUGGAUGACAACAAGUACCCAACAUCACCGCUUCCGCCCUGGCUCACCGAGGCAGACAUUGACUAUUUUGUCACCUCCUUUGAAAAGACUGGCUUCACUGGAGCCAUCAACUACUAUCACAACUUUGACAAGAACUGCGAGCUGGCGGCACCGUGGGCAGAUGCCAAAGUGCAGGUGCCGACCAAGUACAUUGUGGGCGACGGUGACAUCACGUACAACUUUGAGGGGAUCCAGGAUUACAUCCAUGGUGGUGGGUUUAAGGAGGAUGUUCCGCUCCUAGAUGAGGUGGUCAUCAUCCCCGGCGCUGGCCACUUUAUCCAGCAGGAGAGGGCCCAGGAGGUCAACAACCAUAUCUAUGACUUCAUCAUCAAGUUCUGA
rnacentral:rRNA from 1 species